CACCAAGAGAGGCUGGAUCCAGCCACCUUUUGCUUUCUCAAAAUGCCCCCGCCUCCCCCGAUCUCUCUAAGGCAGGGGUGGGGAAAUCUGUGAGCCUCCGGAAACUCUGGCCCCAGUGAGCCUGGCCAAUGCUGAGGGGGUGUGUGGGGUGAGUAGGAUUUGUGCUCCGGGAACAUCCAGAGGGCCAACAGUUCCCAGCCCCUGCUCCAAGGCAGCCUGGGAAAUUGGAAGGCUGGCUAGACCCAAUUAAGAGGACAGCUGCUUGGUGCAAUUCUAUUAUAGCUGCAAACAGGGUGAGGUGGAGGGAGGCGCCCAAACCUGAAGCCAGGCCUGUUCCCCGUUGCUGGAGGUUGUGAGAAACCACAAGAGCCGCAAGGGAUCACAGGUUCAUUAUAUAUAUAUUUUAGGGUACCAGGCAAAAACGUUCCUCUUCAGUCAGGCCUUGGGCUGCUUCAUAUUCUACAGCCUCUUAAAUGGGUUUGUGGGAGGAGGGAGGGCAGUUAUUGUUCUGCUGUUUGUGUUUUAACUAUUUAUCUGUACUUUUGCACCUUGUGUUUUGAUCUUGGGAACCGGCCUGAGAUAUUUCAAUGAAGGCCAGUCUAUAAAUCUGAUUAACAAACAAACAAAUAAAACGAGGCUGUUAAAUGGGUGGAGCAGGGCUCUUUCAAGGAGUGGCUCCAACAGGUGGUAAAAGAGUGAGGGCCGAACAUGGUGUUAACUCUGAAUUUCUGCCCUUGCUGUGCUGAACAGCAACUUUUGUUCAGUUUGGUUGUUUGAACUGUGAAAUCCAGCAAGAGAGAGAGAGGGAAAGAAAGAAAGAAAGAAAGAAAGAAAGAAAGAAAGAAUACAUAAAGUAUACUGUGAGAAGUCAAUCAUGUUGUUCAUUUACAGUAGAAACAUUUAAUUUGCACUGUAUUGUGCAUUGUUUAUCAUAAGUCAUUUUAUAUUUCUGAGAGAAAAGGUGUGUUAAAAUGUUCUAAAUAAAAUACAUACCCUUCUACUUAGGAGUACAGUGGUACCUUGGGUUACAGAUGCUUCAGGUUACAGACUCCACUAACCCAGAAAUAGUUAAGAAUUUUGCUUCAGGAUGAGAACAGAAAUUGUGCGGCGGCGCGGCGGCUGUGGGAGGCCCCAUUAGCUAACGUGGUACCUCAGGUUAAGAACAGUUUCAGGUUAAGAAUGGUCCUCCAGAACGAAUUAAGUUCUUAACCCAAGGUACCACUGUACUUUUUAAGUCACCCUGGGGCCCUCCAGAUGUUUGACGGACUCCAGCUCCCAGCAACCACAGCGAGCACGACCAAUAGUCAGGGAUGAUGGGGGUUGUAGUCCUGCAACAUCUGAAGAGUGCCACAUGGCCGACCCCACUUUUAAGGUCUCCCACCCUCCCAGAUUACAUAAAUCUAAGGUGCAGUCCUAGACCCAUUUACCUGGAAGCAAACUCCAUUUAAUUCAAUAUGUCUUACUUUGGACUACACAUAUAUAGUAUUACUCAGUACAUGAUUAACUCUAAUCACAAGUUUGCAACAUGUAUACAGCUAUAUAUAUGAGUUGUAGUCAAUCAAUCAAUUUUGCAUAUUGAUUAAUCAAUCAAUUAAAUUUGCAUCAACAUAAAAGCAGCAGUCCUGAAGUAAAUGUAUUAUUUCUGUUUUUAAAAUGCACUAUUUUAGAAGACAUAUCUCCACCUGCAAUGGGAGAGGGAGACUGGUGGCUUUUCAAAGACGACACAUACUCAGCAUUUAUGUACUAAUGAAAUAAUGGCUAAUUAUUUCAAAAUCUGCCUGAUUAAUUGGGGACACCUUUUUAUCAAACUGUUUUUAAUUAUUAAUCCUACCAAUUAAUCAGCUAAAUUACUGGAAUUUCUUUCUUACCCAUUGUUUACAUGCAGCAUUAUAUUUGGAUAUUGGCUGUGGCUCAAUGGUAGAGCAUCCGUCUUGCAUGCAGACAAGUCACAGGUUCAGUCCCAGCAGCCAGGAAACAGGAAGUACUCCAAUCUGCCCCAGUGUUUCCUGAGUACAGUGGUACCUUGGUUCUCGAACUUAAUCCAUUCCAAGAGUCCGUUUGACUCCCUAUGGUUCAAAAACCAAGGCGCGACUUCCGAUUGGCUGCAGGAGCUUCCUGCACUCAAUCGGAAGCCAUGUCGGACGUUCGGCUUCUGAAAAACGUUUGCAAACCAGAACACUUACUUCCGGGUUUGUGACAUUCGGGAGCUGAUUUGUUCGGGUGCCAAGCCGUUUGGGAACCAAGGUACCACUGCACUUGGUCAUUGCCAGAACCCACGAUGCAUUGAAGCACUCCCUCCUGAGCGCUCAAAUCUGCAUUGCCCAUGGUUUCUCCAUGGUACCUUGUUUCCACAGUCAAAUUAUUUGGGGUCCAACAUGAUGAAUUGCUAGGAGGGCCAGAUCGGGCCUGAGGACUGUGUUUUGGAUUCUGAAACUGUACCGCCCUCAACUGUUUGACAGUCUCGUGCUCUUUUUGCUCUGCCUCAGUCUCCCUUGCUGUCCAGAAUUUGUUGUUGUUUAGUCAUUUAGUCGUGUCCGACUCUUCGUGACCCCAUGGACCAGAGCACGAGCACGAUCUUCUUCAAUUAUGUUUGUGAGGACAUAACUAUUUCUUCAGAUCCCUCUUUAGCCUUUCAACAAAGCCUCUCUAGCUCAACCUCUUAAACCCAACCCUCAUCACCCGUAACUCAGCCUAAGUAGAUACAACUGGAUCAAUCACAUUCACACACCCCUCUACACACACCUUAAUUUUCUUCCCUUUCCUUUGUCUUCCCCACUCUCAAAUGUUAUGACUGUAGUGGUGGUAGUGGUGUGUGGGGGGGUCCUUGAGAGAUCCCCACAGUCGAACACCCUGGCAUUUUUUCCUUGUGUAACCCUGCAGGACACAAUGUAUGCCGUUGGCUCUAGUAAACAUUAACUACCAAGGGUAAAAGUCACAAGUCACAAAUAAUAAUACUCAACAAAAGUGUUGCCAAAAUUGCUGCGUUCUGGGUUUGUUUGUUUUGUAACGAUACGCAAUGCUCUUUUACGCCACACAGAAGGGAGAAAAGGCAGCGGGGGAAGACAUGACACUUGCGACAUUUGUGAAAAACGGGCUCCAGCCUCUGUGAGAUGGGUAUGAGAGGAACAAAUAGGUUUCCCAGGGUGAUCGCCAUAGAAUUGCCAACAUAUUGGAAAUAGAAGGCUUCACACACACACUCUCUUCCUCUGUGUGUGUGUGUGCAGGUCAUGGAUGGAUGGCAGCUGUCCUUCCCUGUGGCACCCUCCUUGCCAGCUGUCGCUGUUUGACCCAGAUAGUUUGGGUUUAUUCCAGGUUUUCUGUUAUAUAUAUUUCUCUACCUUUCCUCCCCUAGACCCUACCCCUUCCCCAUACCUUAGAUAUCACAUUCCUCUGCCCCCAAACCAGCUCAUCAGUCCCUCUUUGUCUUCCCUUCUCCCACUCUUGUCUUAUUACCCACCUUGUGCCUGGGAUGGUUGUGGGAAUGUUGAGGGUGGCAGGAGAGGAUAUACUGAUUAUUAUUAUCCUUCCUAACUUGCGCUAGCAAGCUUCUUCCCUUAGCAGAGUGCAUUCCCCUUCUUACGCAGCAGAAAACUGGUUGCAGGCUCGUGUGAGCCUCUUAAGACAAUCAACAAUUAAAUCCAGCUUGCCCAGAUUGAGAUAUGUUCUAUUAUUCCAGGUAAGACCCCUUUGAUCCCUCCUAAAAGAAUAAAGACACAACAGUCUUAUUCAUAAGCAAAAAAAUGUAGUUUUACUCAUGAUCAGGCAUAGCACAGUGUGAUCCCUGAAGGCAGACUUUAGGCUUAAAGUUACAAACAUGUACAAACAGGUUUACCCGACAUGGGAGAUAACCUGGGGGACUGCUUGUUGGCAGCCAGCAGUACAGUCCAGGUGAAUCAGGAAGCUUGCAAGACGAAAACGAUUGAAGAGAGGGAGGUGGCUGCGUGACUUGGCCUUUUACCAGGUCUGGAAAGGUCACGCCCACCACUGGUCACAUGCAAGAGGAAGGAUGCUCCAGGCCAGGAGGAACAGGAAGUUUCGACUGGCUGGACCAAACAUUCCCUUGCAUGCCCACUCUAGCAAAACAAGGAAUGUUGUAUUUGACUGCUCCCAGUGGAUUACAUGCCACAUAGGGCUCCUGCCGUCAGUUUCUGCUUCAGUUCCCUUCAAACCCCUCUUCAAGACCUCAUUUUGAGCGGUGGACCGCCCUGCUUACAGAUCACUUUUCGGACACCAAACACGCCAGCCAACCAUUGCACGUUUUUUCCUGCACAAGCAUUUUUUAAUCCAAUCUAGCUGCACAAAGGUCUGAAUGUUUAACUCUAGCAGUUAUCAUGUUUGAAAAACACAUUCAAGAUUGACUGGUUUGCUUUGCGGCUUUAUAUGAGUCAUAGGAUCACAAAGGGACAAAUAAAUCGUAGGACUUCUGUCUCGGGGGCAAGAUUAUUUUUUCCCAUGACAGUUCUGAGAGCCACAGAUCUCCUGUCAUUGCAAUUAUUCAUGGGACCACAGGAGAAUCAUUUAAGUUCAACCCUGUGCUGAAAGGAGAUCCGCAACCCCACUAUCAAUUCUUUUUUUUAAUGGGAGGAUGGCCACUUGAAAAUUGCUGGAGAGUUCGUUGCAACAGUUAGUAAACUUUUGGGGGAAUAUGACAGAUCAAAGCACAUACACAUACUUUAAUAUGUGAUUGAUGUGCCUAUUUGGGGGAGCAAAGUUCUGUGAAGUUCAGUAUAAAGUUUCUCAGGUCAGGUUCAGCAAAAUUACACUUACCUGGUGAAUUUUUAAGGGAAAUUUUUUUAAAAGGAAAAAUUUGACUGCAUCAGUGCCAUAUUAUGAAAAUCAUGGCCCCUUUGCCAAAACCUUGUUAGCCUUUUUUGCUACCCUGGUCAAAACAGCCUUGAUCUCUGUCAUCAGGAAAAAAACGAAUUAAGUGCAGUGUCAAAUACAGAUAUUCUUUACUGUUCAAUAGCCUUUCCAAGGAAUGGAAUGGAAGCUUGCAGACCAAAGUUUGGCAGCCUUCCAACUCUACAAUUCUAUGAUUCUAUGAACCUCUGGCACAUGCAAUCCAGGGCAGUUUGCCACAAACCAGGAACCAAGUCAUUGCAGAAAAGUGCAACGUUGGCAAGUAGCUGACGAUGUCUCACACAAAUGAAGUGGUCAUUCCAUGCUCCUCCCCCCCUUAUUCCCACUUUUCCUGCUUCCCGACACAUCUUUCUCCCCUUCCUCUCUACUUAGUGGUCAACCCCCCAAUCACACUCAUCUAAAGUAGAUUUCAAACCCCACCAAUCUGUGGUUUGUACAGCAUCUUUUAAGACUGGAGCUUAAUUUCUAAAAAGAGAGGCUCUGGAGUAACUGGAAACUGGAACUUCCGUUUUCUCAAAGCCCUAUUUUCUAAUCCCACCAAUGUGUAGGUUGGACUAUGGGUUACUUACAUCUGGUUGACAUACCUCUUGGAGCUAGGAAUAUUGCAUGCAUGGUGGGAUACAGCCUCCCUGCUAUGCAUGCACUGUAAAGUCUGAACUGGGUGCACCACGGUCCCCAUAGACUUUCUAUCUCAGAGGAUUGGCCAAAUGCACACCUUACAUUUUACAUGCAGUAAGCUGCCCUUGCCACCCUGCAUUGCAUAACAUAUCCCUGGAUUUUCUGAAAUAAGUGAAGCAGGUUUUAGUAAGGAAGACAAUAAACUCGGCUAAUGUUUGAUGCUCCUCUUGAGCACUAUCAAUUCACAUCUUCCAGGGCUGAAUCUGGACAGUGAAAAUUGGCUUUGACAGCACAUCCUCAUUCUAUUAAGUCCUUGCUAAUGCACCAGGUCAAUACAGACGAUGCUACACCUAUCAGUAACUUAGCGCAGUGUUUGUAUCUGUGGCUGUGGUCUAAAUCACUGAGCCUCUUGGGCUUGCCGAUCAGAAGGUCGGCGGUUCGAAUCCCCGCAAUGGGGUGAGCUCCCGUUGCUCUGUCCCAGCUCCUGCCAACCUAGCAGUUAGAAAGCAUGUCAAAUGCAAGUAGAUAAAUAGGUACCGCUGCGGCAGGAAGGUAAAUGGCGUUUCUGUGCGCUCUGGUUUCUGUCAUGGUCCUCCAUGCGCCAGAAGCGGUUUAGUCAUGCUGGCCACAUGACCUGGAAAGCUGUCUGUGGACAAACACCAGCUCCCUCAGCCUGAAAGCGAGAUGAAUGCCGCACCCCAUAGUUGCCCUUGACUGGACUUAACCAAGGGUCCUUUACCUUUUUACCUUGUAUCUGGAGAAAUGCUUGUCCUUAGCCCUUUCCAAAACGGUAAAAAAAAACUUUACUAUGUCCCCGUUAACAUACAGAAGAGCCGGCACAUGACAAAGUUCUGGAGCGGCGCUACCGAGAACCAGCUCCCCACACGCUUGUACAUCAGGUUGCCAACUUUCCCCCCCAGUCCCUGCUCCUCUGCCUGUAGCAGCGGCUCGCUCUGCAGACAUGGAGCAAGAGAUACUGUUUCUCUCAGUGCUAUGAAAAGCUGUACAUACUCAGCCCUGCAGAUACAGUGGUACCUCGGGUUAAUUUGUUCUGGAAGUCUGUUCUUAACCUGAAACUGUUCUUAACCUGAAGUACCACUUUAGCAAAUGGGGCCUCCUGCUGCUGUGCGAUUUCUGUUCUCAUUCUGAAGCAAAGUUCUUAACCUGAGGUAUUAUUUCUGGGUUAGCGGAGUCUGUAACCUGCAGCGUCUGUAACCUGAAGCGUCUGUAACCCAAGGUACCACUGUAUAGCGGAUGUUUUAAAGCACAGGACCAGGCUUGGACUGUGUGUGUUUGUGUGUGGUCAUCUGUGAGCAAGGUGACAGUUUAUUACUCCUUGAUAAAAGGGGUUGUCUGGAGCACGGCCACCCACGGUUAGGGCAAAAUAACGUUUAGUAAUAGCUGUGGCAACUUUUCCCACUCUGUCCGAAAGCCUUUGGGCCAAAGAAUACCCAUGAGGCCUCUUUGGGCCUUGCAGCUUGCAGGCCUCAAUCCUUGCCUGGGCAAAGCAAAUUCCAAUGCAGAGAAGGCCAAGCAGAGGCUGCCACACAAACAAGGCUAAACCUCCCCGUCGCACAUUCACACUUUCCCCACAGUCCUCCAACGACACUAAAUAUUAAUGAGUGGCCUACAUUGAAAACCACAAGCACCUGACUCUCCCCUCCCCACCCCCACCCCCCCAACCAGCUCCCUCUCCAUCAUUCCUUCUGCAGGGCAGCUGCCCUCACGCAUCACCGCAGAGACCAUCUUCUCUACCAGCAGGAACCCUCCCUCCCCUUCCCCUCCGCCUUCCCCCCUCCCCGCCACCCCCUUCCCCCCACCACCGCCAACUGGGGACUCGCCAGAAGGCAAAGGGGGGCUGGUGCAGCUGAGCAGGAGGAAAGCCGUACCAGCUGUGCACUCAUUUCCAGAGGUUUCUCUUCCAGCCCAAGCUUCCUUUGCCGCCCUUCUGCGGAGGCAGUGGCAGUCAAGGCCGGAAGACAGCAUUUCCAAUAAAAAAAGCAGACAGAAUAAGGGGUGGGGGAAAUGGCUGUGUGCGUGUUUUCGUUGUUUGUAGGUGAGUUAAUUAGACCUUCUUGGAAGACCAACUAUUGCUUUGCCCAACCGAGUAAGAUCAGAAGCAGCCAAACUAGUGGGGUCUUCUUUUUGGGGGUGCACAGAUUUUCUUCCCACUCCAAGCGGGAACAGGGUUGCCAACCAACCAGAAAAAUAGUGGUCCAACCAGGUUCUAGUGUUCCAGUUUCUGCUUUUAGUCCAGCUGCCAGAAAAGCAAGGGACAAGGCUGGUUAUCCUACCCGCCCCAAGCUGUUUUUAUUUUUAGCCGUAUGUCAAAUCAGGUGAAUAGAUGGCUUUGGUGUCCCUGCGCUCUCUCCCAGGCCUGCCAGAAAUCUCUGCAUGGCACUCUUUAGGUCCAUUCCCCACCAGAUCCACUUGGGACUUUUCCAGGAACCAGCAUUUUUCUAUUUCAAGCCUUAGCAAUCCAGGUAGGGGAAAAACUGCAUGCAGAAAGAAUAGGAUGGACGGAGGAGGUUUGCAUCUUCAUGCUGGACUGUGGAACAGUUUUGCAUUCUCUCUCUUAUGUAUGCACACAUGCACAUUCCUCAUGCACAGGCACGGACCCAUGGAAGGGCUUCCAUGCCUUUUACAAGCUACAUGCUUUCAGCAGGCAAAUCUUUUCCUGCUGUACAGAUAUUGGGUCACAUUCACUGUUGAAUUUCCUCCUAUCAAGCAGAAGCGAUUGUUUAAAGCAAAGGGUGGUUUUUUUAGGGGGGGUGGAGGAGUGGCAACCCUACAUUUACGCUAACACAAGUAUAUUUAUUUUCCACAAGUAUGCCCAGAACUCCGAAUACUUGCACUUUUUUAAAAAAAGAAAGAAAGAAAAGAAAUUAAGAUUCUGCACCCAGGCAAUUCAAAUUCUGUACCAACGAAAACUUGAUUCUGUACCCAUGGCAGCUGAAUAUUUUAUUCAGGCACCUUUCUGGCACACGGUCGCAGCCAUAAGGUUUAGAAACAUUCUUCUUCUUUUAACAAAAGUUUAAAUUGCCAGGGAGCUGAGCUGGAGACAAUAUUCUGAAUACUUUCUGUUUGCCUGAGGGAAAAGAGCCCUGAGUCUGCCUGUGGCAAAUGGUUGGCUAGAUUUUAGGGUAUGUCUGCACAAGUAAUACACUUCACUUCCAGGCGUAUUUGGUCAUGAUUCACGGCCUAGGGAAGCUCGGCAGAGCCAAGCCCUGGAAUGUAUGGCUUCAGCCCCGAACCCGUUUUCAACGCCAGCAUUUAGAUAUUGAACUUACGAAGCAGGAAUGUCAUUUAGAGGGAAGAUGGCACCAUUUUGCCUCCUACUCCCCAUUUCAGCCAACAUGUCCUUAUUUCUUAAAGGCACCUAUAGCAGGAAUAGAAGAAACCUUUGGCCCUUCAGGAUGAACUACAACUCCCAUCAGCCCUAACAAGGAUGGCCAAUGGUCAAGGAUGAUAGGAGUUGUAGUUCAGCAAAAUCGGAAGGGCCAAAGGUUCCCCACACCUGACCUAUAAUUUGACUCAGUCCAUGAAUUCUGAGGGCACGGCCAAACUGUCACUAUUUUCGGGUGGGAUUCAAUCACACACCAGCAGCAAACCCAAUCCCACUUCAAAUUGGACUUCUUGUAAUAGGGAACGUGACUGAAAAAUGCACUGGGAACUGUAGGGCAAUAUUUGCUCAAUCUAGCAAUUGGAGCUUCCAGACGACCUGUUCCUUGAGCAAUGACCCAGAUUUGUUUGUGGGGAGGAUGGACAAUGUAGCAUCAAAGCAAGUGCCUUCCCUGUCGCUUUCCUUAACUCAAGCAUUCCAAUAUCUAGGGGAAGCAGGGCCUCCCAAUCAAUUGUGCAAUCUGCAUGAACAAUAUGUGAUCAAAUUCUAUUAUUCUAUGAAAUCCUGCCUGAAUAUAGCGACAGCCUAGAAGCACCCAUUGUCUGAUCUCCUUGCAAGCAAAUUAAGAGGAUCAGUGCUCCACAGAAAUUUCAUCUCGAAGCAGCUUGAGUGGCAAUUGUUACAAUCAAUCCAAAGGGCAAAUGUAUUAAGUGUGCGUGUCAAAAUGGUGCCCACUGGCAGUCUUAUAGGUUGUGUGUAUAAAAUACCCCACUCUUCUUAACAUGCACUGCUUGGUUGCAAUUUCAUCUUGAAUACAUCCAAUUGGCCUUGAUGAAAAUCUUGCCUUGCUUGCCUUCACCCCAACUGAAUUCCAGAAGGGGCAGCCCUGGUAUAAACAGGGCACCUCUGAGGCUUCUCUCCUGAUACUGAGCAUUUGCUGCCACCCACCUGGCACUCAGGAAUGCAGAUUUCUAGAUGAUAAGAUGCCACUUCCCCUGAAGUCUUAAACAAAGCUUAACUACCAACGAACAAAAGUCUCAUCUCUUUGGAGGCAAAAGUAAAGAUAACCUCUUGAGGCUGGCGCCUCUCCCAGUCGGCCAGGGCUUGUCCUUAGAAGUAAGGAGGACGAAUUAUUCCCUUUGAUUCCUCGCCUGUCCUACACGCACAUAACACAUGCGCACUAUCCAUUUCCCUUCGUGCUGAGAUCCAUCCAAACAGCCCAAAGUGGCCCUUGAUUGAUGGCAGUGUUUGCCCACUAAGAGCACCCUGCGGUCCAAUCCUUGCACGUUCCCCAAUUCCUCCCCAGUCCCUAUUCAAAGACCGGCGGCGUCUCAUGUCGGUCCCCGAGGUGCUAUUAAUUAAAAAUACAUCCAAUUAAAUGGCAGGUGAGGACGUGCCACACGGACUCCCUCCUUAUCCCGCUACGAUUGGCUCAUCUGCGCUUUGAUUCGAACGAGACGCAGGGAGAGGGAGAGAGAGGCUACAGGAGGGUUCUCUGAACCUGUGCCAACACAAGGCCAUGCCAGUCUGUUCGGCUAGCACUGUGUGUGUGUGUGUGUGUGUGUGUGUGUGUGCAUGCGUGUGUAUAUGCACAAGAGACAUGGCAGACUGAUUUCCAUAGCCAGUGGUUGGCGUUAUUAUAUUUCAUCAGCUGCGGCCUGGCCCCAUUUUUAUGCACUCCUUCUCCCAAGUAACUAAGCCUGAAUCUAGGAAGGGGAGGAGGAAAAAAGAAAACAGAUUCUCUAGCAGAGAAACAGUUGCUAAGUCAACACAGAUUCCAUUUGAACAAGGUUACUGGAGACGGGGUCUGCAAGCAAAGAUUUGCGUAGUCAUUUCAAACCAAGAUGUUAACUUCUUCGGUUUCUCCCCCCACCUCUGCCCAAGCCCCAGCCCCAGCCUUAUUUCUCAGCAUCCAUCUUUAACAGCUUUCCUUUUCCACAGCUGCUAUAUAUGUAACCCCAAGCCCUUGAAGCCCAAAAUAAACCUGAUUCAAGAGAUCCAUGAUUUGAUCUCAGUACAUAUUUUUCUUUGGUUAAAAGCAGCUGGCAAGACUCACAGAUUUGGAUCAGGACUAUGGUUCUGAGGGAAGGAGCCUUAACCCUUUCCCUCAUGCUGAUUCCCCAGCUUAAAUCACCCUCAACCUGCUAACAGCCUGGGAGCAGGAAGGCAAGAGGCACAAUACAGUAUUUACUCUUGUGCAGAGGUUCCGUGGCAGAAUGCACACCACUCUGGCAAGCUCUUGAUAUUCUGUAUUUGUGUCACUGUCAAUGGCACAAAUCCAAGACAGCUUUUGUCCUUUAACCAUGCCGAAGUAAAGGGGAAAAACGUUAAACUGCGAAACAUUCCAUUUCAACGUUUUAUUUCUGUAUCAACACACAAUAAUCUACAAUGACCCACAACAGCUAUAGUCGCUCUCCAGGACGGAGCCAGAUAUUCAUGGGCUCAUAUUCCAAGCUAAUUGUAAGGUAUCAUGCAGAAUCCAUGGUUUUAAAUUCUGUGCUAAUGGGUGGGUCAAGUGUUUGAUAACACCUUUUUAAAUAUAAUGUUGACUCCUUACAUUCACAAGGAUUAGCAAUUUAGGCUGCAAUCCUAUGUCCCCUUUCCGGGGAGUAAACCCACUCGAACACAGCGAGAAUUACUUCUGAGCAAACACACACAGGAUUGCACCUUCGACUAGGCUUUUGGGCAUGAGAAUCUGGCGAGGAUCAGAAAUGCAACUUGCAGAAAAGCAAACCGUGAAACGCCCAAGUUCUAAACAAACAUUUGCAUUAAUAAUCUCACAUUUCAAGAGUUAAAAGCCUUGGAAAGGGACUCCCAGAGUGAAAACAAAGCCAUGUCUGAGAAGACUGAGUAGCAAUAGCAUAAAUAUCCACACCAACAGUGGGCAGCAUAAACCAACAUGGAACACCAAAUCCGGCCAUUAGGCCGGAAAGUGGGCUUAUUCCCAAUCCUGGGCGGAAGAAGCCCUAUCAAGGUGUUCCCAAGCUUUGGAAUCUGCCGCAUUUCUUGCCGGCUUCACGUUCCCGCUAAUUGGAGAUUUUAAUCUUCAGCGACUUUCUGCUCAGGGGUGCUGACAGGAUCACCAGCUGUGCAGCUAUUCCAGGAGCAGCGGCUUUUUAAUCAAGCCAUCUUGGCAGGGAAGGUGGGGUGGAACUGGGGAAGGGGAGGGGGAGGUAAGUCAAGGGGAGGAGGGGGUGAGGGCUUGGGAGUCCACACACAAACACACAGAGAGGGCCCCCAAAAGAAGGACUUAGCUGUGGGAGGAGAGCUGAGCACAAGAGUGCUCUCCCCACUUGCAACUCCCGACAACCGAUAGGCAGAACACUGCCGCUGACCCUGGGAGGUGAAAUACAGUCACGAUGGCUUAUGCGCCUUAUGCGCUUGUCAACAAGGGCCUGAUGGAGAGGACCACCCCCUGUUCAUCUCCACUUUUCCAGGAAUCAAAAUCGUUCUGCCUCUGCCAUACGGGUAGAAGGUCCCUUUUCAGCUACCAGGCUGCUAAUAAUAAUAAUAAUAAUAAUAAUAAUAAUAAUAAUAUCCCACCCAUCUGACUGGGUUGCCCCAGCCACUCUGGGUAACUAAGAAUUGUUGCCAAGAGACCAUUUCUUGGAGAGUUUGUCCUAGUCUGUUUAAAAGCCACUUGCCACCGCCACAUCUUACAGCGGCAGGUUCCAUCAGUUUAGGCACGCGUUGCAUAAAGAAGUACUUUAGUUUGGCCUCCUUGGUUUGAUAAAGGGUGGUGAUCCCAACUGGUGGUGGUGUUAUAAGAGAGACGGACGGACCUUCGCUUUCACCGUUCCCAAUGUUAUAAGCCUUUCUCACUGCCUUGUAAGUAGGCACACAAAAGCUUCUAGCCUGAAAAGCUGCCAGCAGCCUUCUGCUCGCUUCAAGCCUCCUCUAGGAACGUGCUGCUUUUCUGCGCUAUGGUACAGAGCAGGGCGCUCCCCUCCUCUCCCAGUCUGCUUGGUUCAACCCAAGGUGCAGAGCCUUUAGCAGCUGACUCAUUCGCUUGCAUGCAACCCCUUCUUUGCCUCUAUAAGGUGACCAGGUGAAAAAGAGGAUGGUGCACCUUCACCUUUAAUGGUUGUGAAGACAAAGGAAUUUCAGCAGGCAGUUCCUGCAUGGCAAGCCAUACCUGCUGAAAUUUAAAGGUUCAGGAGCCCCUGUCUUCUUGCCAUGCAAGCUAUACCAGCUGAAAUUCCCUCUUCUGCACAACUGUCCUUUUGCACCUGGCCACUCCUAUAUCUAUGCUUGUGCUUAAAUGCUUCACGUUCUCCCAUCCUGCUGCUUUGGGCUGCAAUCCUAUGCAUGCUAAUUUGGGGGCAAAAUGGUUGGAAUCAUUGGGGCUUGUUCCUGAGCAGACAUGCAUAGGGUUGCAUACUUAACGUUCUUAAUCAAUUUGGCAGAUUAAGUUGAUGGAUUAUGCUGAAAUGGCAAAAAUGACGGGAAGAAUCAGAAAUCAGGAAGACGAAAAUUUCAAUAGAGAAUGGGGAAAAUUUAUAAUUUAUCUUAAAAACCAUUGUGUAAACAGCUAAAAUCAUUAUUAGGAUUAGAAUAACAUUUGUAGUUUAAUGGUGAAUUUUGGACACAGUGGAGAGGUAAAAGAUUUGGAAUCUUAUAAAAGAUGCAGGAGGAAAUGACUAAAAAUAGGACCCACAAAGGGGAGGAGGGAAGUCCAGGAGAUGCUUUGGAACCUUGUUUUUGUGUUGCAUGUUGUAUAUGUGAUUGUAAAACUUUAAUCUGAAAAAGCAAAUAAAUAAAUUUACAGAGUUCUUAAUCAAUAAGGCUUUUUCUCACAGAAAAGUUCCUCCUACCCUCGGGUCAUUCUGAUGGCCCAUUUCAGCAUGUUUUCCAGCUCCAUGACAUUCCUUCCAGAUAUGAGGGAACAAAUCUAUAUGGAAAUCACAAUGUGGUUAUACCAGAGACACCGUUCGGAAGUCCCAAUGAUCCCUUAAAAGAGUGAAUGGCUUUUAAAGCAGUAUAGGUCUAUGGUGGUACAGAUAUAGCUCUAUGGUACAUGGCAUUCCCAGACGCAUCACUUAUUUCAGCGGCACUGAGGAACCUGUGGCUCUGCAAUGUUGUCAGACUCAAACUCCCAUCAUUCCCAGCUAGCGAUGGACAAGGAUGAUGAGAGUUGUAGUUCAACAAAUUCUGGGGCCUAGUCCUCCAUUCUGGCCUUGUAGGGGGUUGGACUAAAUGACCCUUGGGGUCUCUUCCAGCUCUACAAUUCUACGAUUCUAUAACAAGAGGCUGAACCUAGGUAAGCUGGUUAGCUAUUAGGUUUUGUGCAUCUCUGGAGGUCAUCUUUGCAAAUGGUUUAUCAAGCAAAACAUGAUUAGGGGUUUUCUGUCAGUGGCACAAAUCUGCUUUACAUACAUACGUACAUAGCUCUCUCCCUGCUAACUGGUAUGGCAAUCCCAAGACAAAAUUUAUUUACCUAAGAACUUCAGUACUGAGCCGCAAGACAACGUGGCAAAGGGAUUGCUGGGUACACCCAGUUAAUGGGGUGUAGCAUAACAGGCACAGUGAUAGGAUGCAAAGGAAGCAUCAAAGAGCAUGCAAUAUAUUUAUACUUAUUAAAAUAUUGUUAAAUUGUAUUUAUUUAGUGUGGAGCAUUAAAUGUGUUAGUUGUUUGUUUGUUUUUAAAGAAUACUCUUCAUAUUUGACACCUGCCCAUUUUGAGCCUUUAGCAAGGAGUGGAGUAUACUUUUUUUUUUAAAAAAAAAAGGAACUUAAAAUGAAUGGAAAGUAACCAGCAAUCAAUUUGUGCAGCUCUUUUUUGGUACACAAAAUGGCUCCCUGCCCUCCUUCUCCUUCGUUUUUACCUUCACCGCCAUCUUGGGAACCAGAACGCUCAAGGUCCCAUUUUAUUGACUGGGGAAACGUAGUCUGAGAGGAAGCAAUAUCCCCCGAGGCAGCGCUGUGAAUCAAACGCUGAGCUGGAAUCCGAAUUGAAGGCAAGACAAUCAAUCAAUGAACAAAACAGACCUCACAACUUUCAUUUAAAAAAAAAAAAAUCCCCAGAAGCAUGCCAAGCAUGCCUCACCCUCAGUUGCCUGACAGUCUCAUUGCUUUCUAACUUGACUCUCCCCAGCCUCCUUUCCACCCCUUAUACCUGGUCCCCCUGAUCACAUAAGUAGUGUCCUAUCUCUUUCUCUUCCUUACAAUACUUCCUCAAGCCCUCAUCUUUUCAGUGAAGUAUUUUUCUUAAUCUUUAUGCCCAACUUUAUGCUCAAGUACAUGCAACUGCAUUUCCUCACACCCAUCUGUGGCUACCUAUCAUCUCUUCCCCUCCCAUCUUGUUUAUUUGUUUUAAUAUUGUACAUCUCUGUUCUCUUCCAUCGUAGAACUCAAGGUGACAAGUUCCACUCAACGUGGAGUUUUCCACUCAACAUGGAGUUUUGAGGAGGUCUCCUAUCCAGACACUCACCACAGCAAGUCCUACUUAGCUGCACCACACCCUCAGACUAUGCCCAGGGUCUUCCCCCACUGCUUACAUUACAUUGUAAGCUCAUUGGAGGCAGGGACUUGCCUGGAUCAGUGUACAUAGGAAACUCUGUAAAAUGCCAUGUACGGAUGCUGCUCUAUAAAUAAUCAGCUAAUCUGCAUAUGAAACAUAUUGCUCUUCAUACUUUUCAGAAUGGAAUGCAGGUUGCUUAAUGGUUGACUUUAUGUUUCCUUAAUAUAAAACCCAGGAAACAGGCAUGAGAUUUUUCAUGCCCCCUGCUACGUGGCAAUAAUUAGUUCAAGAACCAGCUUUGGAUUUUAUUGCGAGGAUGCCUUCACCAGCAAGAAAUGAGCACCUUUUGCUGCACUGCGAACUCCAAGAACUCCUCUGUCUCAGCAUAGCUGACUUCUGUGGCUUCAAAGGUCUCCCUUCAGCAAGUGAUAAAAGGGAAUGAAACCAAAACAGAGCUCAGAUGGGGUUAACAGGCCAUGAUAACCCAAAAGAGGGAAGCCAGAGCAGUCCCCCCCCCCCAUGAAGUGCUGGGAAGGUUUAUUGGCAUGUGCUGCCCUCUUGCGUCUUUUAAAGAAAGCUUGCCGCUUUCAUCAAGAGCAAAACCAGCCAUCUGGCCAGCUUUGCAGGCCCGUAUUUAACUGCACAACAGUUAUUUAUGCGGCACUUCUCUCUAAUGCACUCAUAAUGCUCCUCGUGAUAACUUGAUGGUUCUUACAAACAACCUUGUAAGGUAGGCUGGACAGCCACAUUUAAAAAAAAAACGUUUUAAAGCAUUUGCAGCUCACUUUUCCAUUACUAAUGUUGAAAACAACUGUUGCUAUUUUUAAAGUGUUGAAUUGAAAUAAAACAUACAAAACAAUUUUAACAACAAAGAUUAAAAUUAGUGGAGGGGGUGGAGCAAGCAAUAAGCAAAAUCAAAUAAUUAAAUAGGUAUCUCUGGAGAUGGUAAUCCAGAGACUCAGCUCCCUUUAUAGAAAAGUCUCUUUCUCUGACCAUCCGCUAACCUCAGAAGGUGGGGGUUCCUUGAUCAGGCCUACCAAUGAGCAUCUAAAACAUGUUGGGGAAUCUGUGUUUCUUCAGUGCUCAUUCAGCCCCAGCCAACAUUGACCGAUGGUCUAGGAUGGGCAGGAGUCCAGCAGUAGAGGGGGGAGGCAAGUGGAGGGGGCAAGCUCCGGGUUUGGAGGGGCCUUGCCCUGCCCCAACCACCCUCCGGAGUUGCCCAUGAGCAGGAAAUAUUUGCUCUUUUAAAGACUUCCAUACAAAUGACUCUACAGCUUUCACUUCUAAAUACAUGGGGCGGUCAUACUCAAAGAAUGGCAACCUAAGGAGAGUUGGCACCGUGUCUGUUGGCAGUAACUAGCAUAUACACAGAGCCAGGCCUGCAGAUAUCCUUGUGGUAAAACAAAAACAAAAACAUGUACGUAAUCUGGCACUGAAAGUUUCCAGAGGCUUGGAAGAUUCGGAACAUUUUUAUACUGUGUGGUGGGACUUUAUUAUAUUCAUAUACCAACACAACUAGCCUCCAGGACUCUGGUUCUUAUCAAUGUGGGAAAUAGUGACUUCUUAAUGCCUAAUGGGCAUCUCCUCACACCUUCCAAUUUUGUUGACAAAUUAAGGGAAUGCACAUGAGGUUCGCCUGGUGCCUUCCUUAUACACCUUCUGGUGCCAGGGGAAAACAAGGCCUUGAGCUGAGUGACAUCCAUGCCUUUUUAAAUGUGUUGUGGGACAGGGUACUAUUGGUUUGUUUCUGUUCUUAUUUUUAUUAUGUAUUUUGUGUUUUUUAUAUCGUAUGUUGUGAACCUUCCUGAAAUCUGAGGGGAUAGGGUG
rnacentral:lncRNA from 1 species